rnacentral:misc_RNA from 1 species
ACAUGAUAGAAGUCUAGAGCUGCUUCCAAGGCAACACGUUGACACAGGUAUGGGCCUGGAGAGGAUGACGGCUGUGUUACAGGGGUCAAGGUCAAACUAUGACACUGACCUUUUCCAUCCUCUGUUCAGGAGAAUACAGAAGCUGACUGGGGCUCCAGCCUACCAAGGACUGACCGGCAAGUCUGACCCCCAUCAUACUGACCAGGCAUAUCGGAUCAUAGCUGACCACGCCAGGAUGAUGUCCAUAGCAAUAGCGGAUGGUUUGCUUCCAGGCCGAGAUGGACUGCAGCAUAAACUCCGCUUGAUAAUUCACCGAGCUAUUAGUGAGUUGGAGGUUACAUUCAGAACUGCAGAGACACGUAGUGGAGGCAUUCUGGGAGAUUUGUCCCAGGACGUUGUGGAAUCACUGGGAGAGACUUACCCUGAGUUGUCCAAGAACUCCUCUAAGAUCAGGGAUGUUCUCAAGCUGGCAGCAGAACAGUAUCAGCAACUUCAGAAGAGGAUAAAAUCCAAUAAAAUCCAUCAGUCUUCUGGUUCAAAUCAUACUCAAGUAGAAAAAUCGGAUGGAUUUUACCGCAGAGAGUUCCAAUGUGAGUCAGGUAUGAAGCAGGUGGAACUGUUCCUGCCAAAGUUAGCCGAGCUCCAGGAGAUGGGCGUGGCCAGAACCGAUGACACGUACAAGUACACGGUGUACUCCCGGACAAGUCAUGGCUAUGAUUUCUCGGGUUGCCAGGAGGUAGAGGGGACAGUUGUCGUCAUCAUUACAGGGGCGGAGCUGUGUGGGCGUGUCUCCAUGGGCAAGGUGUGUGGGGUGGUGCUGGACAGAACCUGCUUCUACUCCGAGUCUGGGGGUCAGGCCGGGGACACUGGCUAUCUCCGAACACAGCAUGGUGUGUUGGAGGUGCUCGAUGUACAGGAGCAUGCUGGGUACGUGGUCCACGUUGGCGUUGUGGUGGACGGGGAGGUCAUUCUGGGAGAGUCUGCACGGAUGGAGCUGGACCAGAUGAGGCGGGUGGGGCACAUGUGUAGCCACACAGGGACACACCUCCUGCAUGCAGUAUUGCGGACGGUGUUGCGGGACACAAAGCAGCUCGGGUCUGAUGUCCAGGACAACAAGUUCUCCUUCGAUUUUGCAUCAAUGGGCACGGUGAAUCAGGAACAAACAGCUGCCAUUGAGAGUCUGGUGCAACAACAUAUAGGUGAAGGUCACAGUGUGUCACGCCUGCAGAUGGAGCUGAACGCUGCCAUGGCGAUGGAGGACCUCACAAUGAUGGAGGAUGAGGACUAUCCGUCUCCUGUUCAAGUGAUUAGGAUUGGUGGGGAGUUAUCUCCCUUGACAUCUCUUGAGUUGUGUGGUGGAACUCAUGUGACCAACACCAGCGACCUUGACAGCUUCUGUGUGGUGAACCUAAAGGGCGUGGCACAGGGAAACCAAGAGGGCCACAUGUGUGACGGGGCAUGUAGCCAGACAGGCCAUAGAAAAAGGAGAAGCGCUGGAGUCAAGGUUGUCACAGCUGGUGUCAGAGGUCAAGUCUGGAGGGAACAUUGACUCAUGGAUGGAGAAGGUCAAGGACAUAAAUACAAGUUUGUCUCAAGACUUGUUGCCCAAGUUAGUGAGGGACCGGGUCCGGGAGGAGCUGGAUGUGACAGUGUCCAGGAUCAGGACGGAGCAGAACAAACUGCAGACAGCCUCCCUACAACAGGUGAGUGAGUGAGUGAGUGAGUGAGUGACCAGGUCCGGGUUCUGGUCGGGAGGAGCUGGAUGUGACAGUGUCCAGGAUCAGGACGGAGCAGAACAAACUGCAGACAGCCUCCCUACAACAGAUGGUCCUGGGACUCGUCUCUAACAGCUCCGAGGACGUCAUCUUGCAGCAUUUCACGUUUGAUGGAAAACUGAUGAUGAAAGCCCUUUCUG